rnacentral:antisense_RNA from 1 species
GUCAGUCUUUCGUCGACUUUGAUUUGACAUGCUAAUCUUGAAGUUUCGCAAACUUGCGGUGCCAUAUCCAGCAUAUCCUCUUCUCUCUCUGAUGGCGGUUCUAGUUCAUCAUAAAUUUCCUAUGGAUUAAAGAGUGAAAAAUAAGGAUAAGUGCGAGGCCUUUAAGGGUAUGAGAGCACAAAGUUAAGAUGCAAGUCUCAUGGACAAGUUCUAGUUUGUGCGCAUCUGAGGAAGAAUAGAUGUUUGCUUUUAUAGUUAUCCCCCUUUUGCAAAUGAAUUGUGAAUUUUUGGGUCUUUAUAUUAGGAAGAUCUUUAUGUUAUUUAUUUGGAACUUCACAUCGAAAUUAGACCGAUAGUUUGUUCCGUUUCCUUUUUUUUUCCUCGUCCCCAGUUAAUCUAUUCAAUAAACUUACUUUGUCCAAAAUGACAUGACAUGUGCUACAUGCUAAAGAUGCUUCGCAUGCUCCUUCUAUGUCUAGUUCUUCAUGCUGAGCAGCUUCUAGUAAAGAAAUAUUCUUUGGAGCCUGAGUUAUAGCAAAGUUAAAUGGUUAAAGUAUUUAUAAAAGAUAUAGAUCUCUAAACUUACAUUAAAAACUUUCUUCUCACCAUCUCUCAAUAUAAACGAAAGUUCUCUAAGGAUCCAAUUAAUGGUGAAUUAAAAAGUUGAACUUUAAUUAUAAUUUCUUAAGUCUAGAAUAGAUUAACUUACAUCUUCGGAUGAACAUCUUUGGUCCAUAGUUCUGGAUCUGAGUGAAAGAAGCGUUUAAAAGACAGAAAAAGCGUUCUCUUACUAAAAUAUGGUAUGGCAGAGAAAACUCUCGAGGAGAUUGGCCUGCUGAUCCUCCAAAUCAAAUUAUUUACCAUUUACCAAAUUUUAAAUAUAUUCUGUGAGCAUUGGCGGGAACAUUUGUGAUAGUAAUUAAACAAUUUGUUUAAAUGCUAUGGGCAUUUUUAUGACGUAAAAAAAAUUUGCCAGUAAUUUUCUUGUACAAUUCCAAACUACUCAUUGAGAUGAAACCCCAAACCCUUCAAUCAGAGAUUCUGUAACUGAAAGAAGGGAAGUAGCCUCACCCCAUCUAUACUUUUCCUUUGUUGAAGCAAUACAUUUGAUAACUAUAUUUAGGCAUGAAACGUACUCGAAUAGUGCAAAACCAGAGUCUCUCAUGAUAACCAUUUCUCUGAAUAAAAUAUCCACUAGUACAUGGAAGUCCAUUGUAUCGCAAUGCAAAGAUUUUUGUCUCUUCAUGCAUCUAAGUAUAUCACUUAAAAGAAGCAUUAAACUUGCAUACUUUUUAAAAUGCUCUGUACCAUACUCAAUAGAAUUGUUUUGGUUAAGUAGUAGUAGAAUACAUUCCAUUACAAUAUAUCCGUGCUUAUUUUCAAGUAUCUCACCCACGAUUGGACUGUCAAUUCCAUCGUAUUGGCUAGAUAAGUAGCUCAAAUAUGGGCUUGGAGCUGCUAUUUCCUCCUUUUGGAUAGCUGAGCAUUUUUUCUGCUGUUCCUGAUGGUCUCUAGUUCUUACCUUUGCAUAGUUAUCCAAUGCCCAUUCGUAGUGCAUUGCUGCAAGCUCAUUCAACAAAUCAGCAGCAUCAGUUGUAAUGGUCCUUGAUUCUAAGCUUGAUCUGGAUAUAGAAUUCUCUGUUCCAGAAAUGUUCUCAGCUUUGGUUGGAAAUAAUGGCUGAAUUGGAGCUCUUAAGUCAAGUCCAUCCCCAAAUAUUCUCACACUUUUUUCCCUAUAUGCAACCAAUAAUUUAAUGGUUUCAGCGACUUUUUUAAUAUCUUUCAUCCUUGUUAUGU